rnacentral:rRNA from 2 species
GAUGACGGGAGCUUGCUUCUUGAUUCAGCGGCGGACGGGUGAGUAAUGCCUAGGAAUCUGCCUGGUAGUGGGGGACAACGUUUCGAAAGGAACGCUAAUACCGCAUACGUCCUACGGGAGAAAGCAGGGGACCUUCGGGCCUUGCGCUAUCAGAUGAGCCUAGGUCGGAUUAGCUAGUUGGUGAGGUAAUGGCUCACCAAGGCGACGAUCCGUAACUGGUCUGAGAGGAUGAUCAGUCACACUGGAACUGAGACACGGUCCAGACUCCUACGGGAGGCAGCAGUGGGGAAUAUUGGACAAUGGGCGAAAGCCUGAUCCAGCCAUGCCGCGUGUGUGAAGAAGGUCUUCGGAUUGUAAAGCACUUUCAAUUUGGGAGGAAGGGCAGU